GACGAACGCUGGCGGCGUGCCUAAUACAUGCAAGUAGAACGCUGAAGGAGGAGCUUGCUCUUCUGGAUGAGUUGCGAACGGGUGAGUAACGCGUAGGUAACCUGCCUGGUAGCGGGGGAUAACUAUUGGAAACGAUAGCUAAUACCGCAUAACAGUAGAUGUUGCAUGACAUUUACUUAAAAGGUGCAAUUGCAUCACUACCAGAUGGACCUGCGUUGUAUUAGCUAGUUGGUGGGGUAACGGCUCACCAAGGCGACGAUACAUAGCCGACCUGAGAGGGUGAUCGGCCACACUGGGACUGAGACACGGCCCAGACUCCUACGGGAGGCAGCAGUAGGGAAUCUUCGGCAAUGGACGGAAGUCUGACCGAGCAACGCCGCGUGAGUGAAGAAGGUUUUCGGAUCGUAAAGCUCUGUUGUAAGAGAAGAACGAGUGUGAGAGUGGAAAGUUCACACUGUGACGGUACCUUACCAGAAAGGGACGGCUAACUACGUG
rnacentral:rRNA from 1 species